rnacentral:rRNA from 1 species
GUUCGGAUUGUGGGCUGCAACCCGCCCACAUGAAGUCGGAGUUGCUAGUAAUCGCGGAUCAGCAUGCCGCGGUGAAUACGUUCCCGGGCCUUGUACACACCGCCCGUCACACCAUGGGAGUUGGGAGUGCCCAAAGCCGGUGAGGCAACCGAAAGGAGCCAGCCGUCUAAGGCAAGACCAAUGACUGGGGUGAAGUCGUAACAAGGUAGC